AUUGAACGCUGGCGGCAGGCCUAACACAUGCAAGUCGAACGAGUGGCGGACGGGUGAGUAAUGUCUGGGAAACUGCCUGAUGGAGGGGGAUAAUUACUGGAAACGGUAGCUAAUACCGCAUACCAUCAUAUGUGCCCAGGUGGGAUUAGCUUGUUGGUGGGGUAACGGCUGACCAAGGCGAAGAUCCCUAGCUGGUCUGAGAGGAUGACCCGCCCCACUGGAACUGAGCCACGGUCCAGAUUCCUACGCGAGGCAGCAGUGGGGAAUAUUGCACAUUGGGCGCAAGCCUGAUGCAGCCAUGCCGCGUGUAUGAAGAAGGCCUUCGGGUUGUAAAGUACUUUCAGCUGGGAGGCGUUACCCGCAGAAGAAGCACCUGCUAACUCCUUGCCAGCAGCCGCGGUAAUUC
rnacentral:rRNA from 1 species